UGGCGUUUAGUUUCCACUUCUUUCACGUUGCUCUUCAUUUCCGGUUUUGUGCCAAAAAGUAAUCGCCUGCCAAAAACUGAUUUCCGGUAUUUGCCAAAAACGGAUUGUUCGUAUUUAAACUGCUGUAAAUAACUUUUUGGUCUAUAAUAUGUGAAACAUAUGUCAAAUGUAUCCCUCGUGAAUGAUAUCAAGUCGUCUUGAACCACAAACAACGUUCCUGUCACAAGGUAGAAGCCGCAAUCAGUUUUUGGCCGUGACCAUAGCUGGACUGGCCAUCGGGAAUAUCGAUGGUGAUUUUUCGUUUUUAUGGGCCGACGUUUUUUUUGUUUGUUUGGUUUUUUUUUGUAACGGUAUAAACAAUGAAAGGUGGUGGAUUGGCCAAUUGGUCAUGAUCGACUCUGGGCUGGACCAAUUACAGCCGAUGAGGUCGAACUUUAAAGUUUCGUAUUUAGGGCCCUGUUUCAGAAAGCCGGUUUAGAAAACUCAGAGUUAAAAAUGAUACUCAGGCUUGAGUAACCCCUAACUGUCCAACUCGGAAUAUUCGGUUUCAGAAAGGCUGAUAACAAUUAGUUCAAUCAACGCGGAGUUGCUUUAACCCCAAGUUAAGCACGCGCAUAAAGCCCUGAUUAGUGGAGCACAGAUUAAGCGAGUCACCAUGGAGACGGAGGGAAAGAAGGCGCGGCCAAUGUAUUUUACAGCGCUUGAGGCCGAAAUUCUGAUGGCAGCAUAUGCCGAUAACAUGCAAAUUUUGCGGAAAAAAAGUAACACAGCCUCAGCUGCAAAAGAAAGGGAGCAUGCAUGGCAAUACAUAGCCGACAGAGUCAAUGCGUGAGUGUUAAUUUAAAAAUUGAUCUAGGGAUUUCCACCCAUUUAACACGUUAUUUUAUUAUAUUUCAUUUUAUUUUUUAUUUUAUACAUUUUAUUUUGUGAUGUGAUGUGAGCGCAUGUGCAACCCAACAGGCCCCAAACGUUCCUGGCAGCAAGUAAAAAUGAAAUAUCAAAAAUGUAGAGGAAGAGGGUCCAGCCACUUCUCCAACAAACCUUUCCUCACUCCCUGUACAGCAGCUGUACAAGACCUGUUUGAUCAAGAAAAUAAAAAAAUGCUUUUUGGAAAUGGAACACUUCAAGCAGCAGAAUGGAAUGUGAGUGCCAUCUAUACAGCCAAUCACGCCUGGGAACCCUGAAAAUAAAUGUAAAAUCUAAGUA